AUUGAACGCUGGCGGCAGGCCUAACACAUGCAAGUCGAACGGUAGCACAGAGAGCUUGCUCUCGGGUGACGAGUGGCGGACGGGUGAGUAAUGUCUGGGAAACUGCCCGAUGGAGGGGGAUAACUACUGGAAACGGUAGCUAAUACCGCAUAACGUCGCAAGACCAAAGUGGGGGACCUUCGGGCCUCACACCAUCGGAUGUGCCCAGAUGGGAUUAGCUAGUAGGUGGGGAAAUGGCUCACCUAGGCGACGAUCCCUAGCUGGUCUGAGAGGAUGACCGGCCACACUGGAACUGAGACACGGUCCAGACUCCUACGGGAGGCUGCAGUGGGGAAUAUUGAACAAUGGGCGCAAGCCUGAUGCAGCCAUGCCGCGUAUAUGAAGAAGGCCUUCGGGUUGUAAAGUACUUUCAGCGGGGAGGAAGGCGGUGAAGUUAAUAACUUCACCGAUUGACGUUACCCGCAGAAGAAGCACCGGCUAACUCCGUGCCAGCCGCCGCCGUAA
rnacentral:rRNA from 1 species